rnacentral:rRNA from 1 species
AGAGUUUGAUCAUGGCUCAGAAUGAACGCUGGCGGCGUGCUUAACACAUGCAAGUCGUGCGCGAAGGUGGCUUCGGCCACCGGAGAGCGGCGAACGGGUGAGUAACACGUGGGUGAUCUGCCUGGGAGCGGGGGGAUAACCUGGGGAAACUCGGGCUAAUACCGCAUACGUUGAUUUGGUUACGGCCAAGUCAAGAAAGCUGGCCUCUAUUUAUAAGCUAGCGCUCGCAGAGGAGCCCGCGGCUGAUUAGCUAGUUGGUAGGGUAAUGGCCUACCAAGGCGACGAUCAGUAGCCGGCCUGAGAGGGUGAUCGGCCACACUGGGACUGAGACACGGCCCAGACUCCUACGGGAGGCAGCAGUGGGGAAUAUUGGACAAUGGGCGCAAGCCUGAUCCAGCAACGCCGCGUGGAGGACGAAGGUCUUCGGAUCGUAAACUCCUGUCAGGCGGGACGAAGGCUUCCGGGCAAAUAGUCCGGAAGCUUGACGGUACUGCCAGAGGAAGCCCCGGCUAACUCCGUGCCAGCAGCCGCGGUAAUACGGAGGGGGCUAGCGUUAUUCGGAAUUAUUGGGCGUAAAGGGCGCGUAGGCGGCCCGGUAAGUCAAAGGUGAAAUCCCUCGGCUCAACUGAGGAACUGCCUUUGAAACUGUCGGGCUUGAGGCCGGGAGGGGGUAGCGGAAUUCCCAGUGUAGCGGUGAAAUGCGUAGAUAUUGGGAGGAACACCGGUGGCGAAGGCGGCUACCUGGACCGGUUCUGACGCUGAUGCGCGAAAGCGUGGGUAGCAAACAGGAUUAGAUACCCUAGUAGUCC